AUGACGGCUUCGCGCGCGGCACCGGCUGCUCCAAGUAGCUCGCCUGCAGCAAUGGCGCCGGACAAGCCGGUGACUGUUUCCAAGGAAGGUCCGGUAACGACACCCCUAUCGACGUCGCCCACAUUAGCGGCACGGUCCAGGCCGGCGUGCUCGACGACGGUGCUCGUCUCAGCAGGCGCUGCUGCUCGGCGGUGCAGGUCAAUGACGGUGAGUCUUCUUGGGGUGAGGCCGUGCUCCCUGUCCGGCCCCAGACCUUCAGCCAUGCUGCCCCCUCUACUGGGUCGUCGUCACUGCUGUUACCGCACUGCCCACAUGGUGUUCGACAGAUUGUCUCACAUGUUUAUUUCAAAGUGUUGGUGUCUUUCACUCUUUCUUCGCCGUAAAUGCUGA
rnacentral:rRNA from 1 species